CUGUCUAACGCUAUGAGGACAUGUCCUAAGAAGACUGACCCAGCCUGUUGAAUAAAGGGAGGGCUUUUUUGAGGAAGAGACAUUUGAACUGAGAUCUGAGGGAUGUGUAGGAGUCAGACAAAUGUGGUUUUGGCUGCAAUCUGAAGUCUGUAACUUGAGAGUCAAUAUGCAGAAUUCUCUAUUCAGAUUUCACAGUUAAAGGAAGUAGCGCAUCAUAAUUAGUGAGCCCUACCCCACUGGUUUCAUCAGAGAUAUGCUCCCUUGACUACACUACAACUCUCUGACCCAUGUUACUCUUUUAGUAAUAAGACAACUGAUAAUGCUAGCUCUUUCUCAGAAGUUCCUCUAAAAAUAAAAUGAAUAGGUUAUGAGAAAGGGUUCUUUUUUUUUAACAUGGCAUAAUUAUGUGCAAACACUACUUAUUAUCUCUAUGUGAUCUCCCUUUUACUUAUUUUCAUAAAGCAGGAGAACAAAAGGAGUUGGUGCUUUAGAGGAAAUGGUUAUUUGUCACCUACAACUAAAAUUUCUAAGUGGUUUUACCCGGUUGCUUAUUAACAAAUAAUUUUUAGUAAAUGGUUCCCUGAUACAGCUUUCUACUAGACAGAAUGAAGUAAAACAGACUUUAUUCUUCCUUGAAAGAAUGACUGUAACAAAGAUGCGCAAUCAACAUAAACAACACAACACCAAGAAGAUAGCAAGUGACACCCUAACACAUGUAUGUGAAUAUUUGGGUAGGCAAGGCUUUGGAGAUAAGUGAUUCGUCUGUGUGUAUUUUAUCCAGGACAUUUUUAGUUUGCAGACUUUAUCUGGAAAAAUAAAGCACUGAAAACAGACGAGAGGAGGACAUGGAUAAGUUAUAAAACUCUCAGAAGAAAACAUAAGACAAAAGCUUCAUGUUGGAUUUGGCAAUGAUUUUUUAGAUGUGACACCAAAGGCACAGGCAAUAAAAGAAAAAAAUUGACAAAUCAUACUUCAUAAAAUAAAAACUUAUAUGCACCAAUAGACCGUAUUAACAGAAUCAAAAGGGCCUAGACUCACCGAAUCUUAGAGGGCCUUCGAAAUCCAUGCCAGAGGUGGUCUCCUCUGAUACUUACCUGUUACUCCUGCCUUGUCAGAGUCUACCUGGUAAUAUCCAGCCGGAACCCACCUUAGUUCAGCUCAGGCUAUACCUCUGACUAUGAGGACUGAAAAGCGAAUAUAGAUGAGCACGAAGAAGCUAAGACCAUGCACCAUCCACCGCUCAGAGACAAUGGCUAUUAAUAUCCCUCCACAACCUCCUCUUUUCAAGUUUAUACAGUAACAACAGUGAAGAUGGGAGCAUAUUACUCUGCUACUUUUUAAGCUCUGGAUCUCCCCAUGGGUCAGUGGCACCAUCGGGCCGGUAGUGAACUGGAUGCAGAAGUGCCAGACAUACGAUCCACGAAGAACAUCACCAUUGGAUGACAAUAAAAUGCUUCCAGAAGCUCAUUCUGAAGAGCGUGGGGAUAUCUAUUCUCAUGAUUCAUAGGCAAGAAUUUUCAUUUGCCUUAUCACUGACAAGAGGAAUGGAUUUACCCUCCAGCCGGAGCUCUGUUUGGAAGGCCUAAGCUCUAUUUGGAAGGCAUGCUAGAUAGACAAUUGCCAAUGUCCACCAACUCAAUUUUUAUCUGUUGAAUUUUGCUGAGGAUUCAAAAGAAAACAAACAAGCCUGGCCUCCACCUCAGGGACUGCACACCUGCAAGAUUGUUUACCGAUUGAGCCACCCUUCUGAGCUGAGCCCAGAGGUUGCAAAUUUGUUGAGCUGGCACAAGCUGUGUGGUUUUCUUUCUUUUUAUAAUAUUUAGAGUUGAAUGACUUUAGGUGAGGCAGGUUCUUUUGUUCACUAUAAUCCUCAUCACCUCCUAUUUGACUUCAUGCAUUUACAUUACCUGCUUGGGCCCCUGUAAGCAUUGACUUUGCCACCCCAAACUAAGCCCCAGAAGGAAAUAGACAUAGAGGCUAAGUUUAUUCAGGUUGAGUAGCAAAAACACAAAGAAAAACAGAGACUUUCCAUCACCCAAGAAUAAAUAUGAUCUUUACCAUUUUCAAUUAUCACAUUCUGGUUCAUUCCAGAACCAGCUUGAAACCAGGAUUGGAACGACCUUCAGAGCUUGGUUAUCCUUUACCCAUCUAGAAAGAACUGUGACUUUGGAUUGACUUGGAACUCCAAGGAGUUUCCUAGAACUUCUCUAAAGCCAUGGUUCAUCUUUUUAAAAAAAAUAUUUAUUAAUUUUAGAGAAAAAGAGAGAGCGAGUGAGCAUGGUGGGGAGGGGAGAAGCAGAGGGAGAGGGAGAGGGAAUCUCAAGCAGACUUCACACUGCAUGUGGAGCCUGACGUGGGGCUUGAUCUCAUGACCCAGAGAUCACAAUAGCUGAAACCAAGAGUCACAUGCUUAACCAACUGUGCCACCCAGGCGCCCCAUAAAACUGUUUCAUCUUAAUAGUUUCUAUUAGAUGGCUUAAUUUGGAAGAGAAGAAUAGUGUUUUCUUUAUGUGCACAAAGCACCAUGGCAUGAAGUGUAAGAAGCAGCCCCUUUGCUCAAUUGUAAGUUGUUUCAAUUAUUAAUUUUCUUUCCAUAUUUUCCAUGUGGGUUGCUCUACUGAUUUGCCUUCUAAUAGUCCUCCACAUCUAUUCCUACUAUCUAUAUUAUAUUUAUGCAUCCACUCAACCAACGUUUGUUGAGCAACUACUAUGUACUGGGCACUCCCGGAACCAGGGUCUACCAACAACCCUUGCCUAACAGAUGGAAGCUAACUUUGCAUGAGAAGCUCUGAAAAAUGAGAACAGUUAUGACUUCAUAAUUGAUGGGGAAAACUGGAAUCCUAGUAUAUGUCUUACUGAAGACCAGCAGACAGAGGCUAAGUUGGAUGGACUGGGCAGAAGUGGGCAAAGCUGACCUCAGUUGCUGAUCUCACUCUGUCAACGUGGACACAAUUUGUGCUGGCAUUCCAGAUAAUCAAGAGGCACUUGGCCAUCAACGGGUGUUCUUUCAAGAUGCUGAAACAAUUUUUGAGUUUUAUCUUCUUGCUUCGGCCACAUCCCUAAGAUGUAGGAGGCAGGUUCUUUCAGCCAGUUUUUUGAAGGAGAAAGUACAAGGAUGCAAGGUCACGGCAAUGAACCUCAAAGACAGCAGUCAAAGUCACAAAGUGAUGGGAUGGAAAAGAUUUCUGGUUUCAGCUGGAAAUAUUAUGAUGAGCCUAUAACUUCAUUCUUUCAUCCAGUAAGUAUUGAGUAGCUACCACGUGCCAGGCAUGGUUCUAGGUUCUGAAGACACAACCCUGAACAAGACAAAAUCUAUGUUCUCAUGGAGAUUACAUUCUAGUGAAGGGACGCUAAGAAGACACAGAUGAAUGCACUUUCUCUUUGCGUAGAGAAGAAUGAGGGUAGGCCAAGGCCUCCAGGAGUGGGGGGCUGCCAGUCAUUGAUGUGGACUCUCAUAUUGUUGCAGGCACUGUAGAUGGUUUCUAGGGGCUGGCUGUGCAGAUCCUCUGUUGGUUUUGUCUGAGCUCAUUCAUGCGAUGGCAUUCAGCUAGAAGGGAACUGGGCUCAAAGUCCAAGAUGGCCUUACUCACAUACCUGGCAUUUGGAUCUGGCCAUGGGCUGCGGUGCCUUGAUUCUCCUCCAUGGUCUCUCAUCCUCCACUAAAGCUACACUAGCUUCCUCAUGUGGCAAUUUCAGGAGAGUUUUCCAAAAGGCCAAAUGUGGAAACUGCAAAGCCUUUCGACGUCUAGGGGCUGGGACUUGCAUAAAGUCACCGUCAGCAAAUUCCAUUGGUUAAAGCAAAUCACAAGACCAGCUUCAGCUCAGGAGGUGGAAAGAUAGACUCCAGUUCUGGGAUACACCCUAAGACCACCAGCUAGGGAAGCAGUUGUCUCCGUGUUGGAGGACAAGAUGCCACAGAGAGGGAAAGUAAGGCACCCUACUGGACAGCUAUACCAACUGCCUGGCAUUUGAGUAAAGUCAUCUUGGACCUUCUAGCCCAGAAUGCCUUUCAGCCGAGUGCAGAGCAUGAGAAAGCCCUGGCAAGACAUCAGAAGAAUUGCCCAGCUUUGGGAUGCCUGGGUGGCUCAGUUGGUUAAAUGUCUGACUCUUGAUUUCAGCUCAGGUUAUGAUCUCAGGGUCGUGGAAUUGAGCCUUGUGUAGGGCUCCAUGUGCAGUGGGGAGUCUGCUUGGGAUUCUCUCUCUCUCUCUGUCCCUAUCCUCAGCUCGUGUGCUCUCUUUCUCUUUCAAAUAAAUAAAUCUUAAAAAAAAAGAACAACCCAGCCAUCUCACAGUAUUGUAAAAAGUAACACAUUACUGCUAUUUCAAGCCACACAAUUUUGGGAUGACUUAUUAUUCAGCCAUAGCUGACUUAGACAGAAUCUUGGAUGCUACUAUCACCUCUCCACUCUCCUUCCUACCCAAACAUGCCUGAGAGCAGACAACACUAUUUGUUAUCCCAGCUGGCAUUUCUUCACCUUUCUCAGGACUCUGCAUUUCUCAUUUCCCAUCCAGUUUCCCAGUAGCACUCCCCCCAUCUCCCCUGAAUGACCUAUCCUGGAGACACUUCUCAAGUCUCACUUCCUUUAUGUCUUACCAUCAGAUUCUCACUGGAUGUGGAGUUCAAAAGGAAUUUUGAACGGGAUUACAAUGGCUCUGGUUGGAUUAAUUUAUGAUGGUUCGUUCAUUCCUUCCUUGAAUAAUGAUUUCUGCUUUCUCUCCUUUCCUUCAGCCUAGUUCUCUUAAGUUUUCAUCUGGUAUCCUGUGUUAAUUCUGGUGAGAUUCAACUCCCUUCCUGGGAGCUAAUGGAGGAAAACCUAUAAUGUUUUCAAAUAUCUUUGACCUCAAAUGAUUUCAUCUUUGAAGGCAGAUUGUAAAGAAGACUCCUGCUGUUAAGAAAAUGUCCGUUGUCUGAUUCUCUUCAUUAGAAUGUAAAUUUCAUGAGGCCAUGGAACUUCGUUUUCUUGAGUGUUUUGAAUGAGUGCACAUUCAAAAAGAUUAUAAAAUAGGAAUGAAAAAAAUCCGCUCACCACUUAG